UUAUUCUUUAUGCACUUUUUAUCAUUAAAAUAAAAACUAUAUACCUUGUAUACAUCGAAUAUGGUACUAUUAUUAAUGAACACAGUAAUAAUAUAGAAAAUAGACAUCCAUAUGGAGCCCAAAACUUUGUUCUGGGCUCUUUUGAAAGCCCAAUAAUGAAGUACUAAGUAGGGCCACAAUUACAUAAUUGUGCAUCCUUGACCAUCUUCUUCAUUAUAGUAAUCAUUGUUUCCGUAAUAACCCUUUCCAUAGCUAGAUGGGCCCGGGCCGGGCCCAUAUCCAUACGAGUAGUUACCGUAGUAUGGGGCGGGUUGUGGGGGUACGGGUGUUCCGUAAUAUUGAUAACACGGGCCACCGGUAUAAUGGCAUUGCCCACAGCCACAACUUGGCAUUACCUGGGGGUAUCCGUGGACCGGAGGCAUCAUCAUUAUUGGUUCGGAUAUCCAUGGGGUUGCCACCAUUGCAGAUGUUGGACCGUCCUUGGGCUUUUCUGGAUCUUUUGUUUUGUCCUUGGGCUUAUCAAUUACAGUGGGUUUUUCUUGUCCUUUGGGCUUUUCGGGCUCUUUCGCUUUGUCCUUGAGCUUUUCGGGCUCCUUUGCUUUUUCUUUGGGCUUUUCAGGCUCCUUGGGCGUUUCAAAAGUGACAACCUUAGGUUUCUUCUCUGGUUCUUUGG
rnacentral:misc_RNA from 1 species